rnacentral:SRP_RNA from 1 species
UGGCUGUCGUGGUCAUAAUUGAAGAAGGCAAUUCAUUUGAGCUUGAGGCGUCGCUUCACACUCCACUUGAUCAUGUGUGCCUUGCUCGGAGUUUUGGGUCGUUCUUCGUACUCGUGUGUGUAAACCACGAUCGCUACGGGACGCUAAGCAAUGGAGGUGAACCUUGAGGGAAGCAAUUCUGCAGAGACACCUCCACCCAGGAUUGGCGAUGUGAGAUGACACCGUGACAAGAUAUGCGAAGUUUCGGGCUUGUCGAAUUGUCGACUUUUUUGCUU